AUUAGCUAUAAGUAUCACCACUGAAGCAACGACAGAUACAGAACAAAAACCAGAAGUUGAAGAAAUACAGAGCGAUCUGAAGUUGAAAAUGGCAGACGAAAGAAGAAUAUCAUGGCCAGAACUGGUGUUUGUGGAUGCAAGUGUUGUGAGCAACAUCAUAAAGAAAGAUCAUCCUGAUUUCGAGAUUGUUGUGCUGUUAGCAGGAUCUCCAACCACUAAAGAUUUGAGGCUCGACCGGGUUCGACUUUUUGUUAAUAUAAACAAUGUUGUGGUUGAAACCCCCAUCAAUGGUUGAAAUGUGUUGAGAACACCUUUGUUUGAGACAAUAUUUAAAUAAAAACUAGAAUCUAUUCUAGUCUUCUACUACUA